UGAGUAACCUGCCCUUAACUCUGGGAUAAGCCUGGGAAACUGGGUCUAAUACCGGAUAUGACUCCUCAUCGCAUGGUGGGGGGUGGAAAGCUUUAUUGUGGUUUUGGAUGGACUCGCGGCCUAUCAGCUUGUUGGUGAGGUAACGGCUCACCAAGGCAACGAUGCGUAGCCGACCUGAGAGGGUGAUCGGCCACAUUGGAACUGAGACACGGUCCAGACUCCGUACGGGAGGNAG
rnacentral:rRNA from 1 species